UACGAAGGGUGCAAGCGUUAAUCGGAAUUACUGGGCGUAAAGGGUGCGUAGGCGGUUGUUUAAGUCUGUCGUGAAAUCCCCGGGCUCAACCUGGGAAUGGCGAUGGAUACUGGGCAGCUAGAGUGUGUCAGAGGAUGGUGGAAUUCCCGGUGUAGCGGUGAAAUGCGUAGAGAUCGGGAGGAACGCCAGUGGCGAAGGCGGCCUUCUGGACCAGUACUGACGCUCAUGCACGAAAGCGUGGGGAGCAAACAGG
rnacentral:rRNA from 1 species